rnacentral:rRNA from 1 species
UACGAAGGGGGCUAGCGUUACUCGGAAUUACUGGGCGUAAAGAGCUUGUAGGCGGUUUGUCGCGUCUGCCGUGAAAAUUCGAGGCUCAACCUCGAACUUGCGGUGGGUACGGGCAGACUAGAGUGUGGUAGGGGAGACUGGAAUUCCUGGUGUAGCGGUGAAAUGCGCAGAUAUCAGGAGGAACACCGAUGGCGAAGGCAGGUCUCUGGGCCACUACUGACGCUGAGAAGCGAAAGCAUGGGGAGCGAACAGG